rnacentral:pre_miRNA from 1 species
UUCGCACACAGUUCAAAGUCUUGUUUACGGUAUCUAAAAGAGACCUUUGCUCUGUGUGGAAGA